rnacentral:rRNA from 1 species
CACUCCUGCGGGAGGCAGCAGUGGGGAAUUUUGGACAAUGGGCGAAAGCCUGAUCCAGCAAUGCCGCGUGAGUGAAGAAGGCCUUCGGGUUGUAAAGCUCUUUUGUCAGGGAAGAAACGGUGAAAGCUAAUAUCUUUUGCUAAUGACGGUACCUGAAGAAUAAGCACCGGCUAACUACGUGCCAGCAGCCGCGGUAAUACGUAGGGUGCAAGCGUUAAUCGGAAUUACUGGGCGUAAAGCGUGCGCAGGCGGUUUUGUAAGUCUGAUGUGAAAUCCCCGGGCUCAACCUGGGAAUUGCAUUGGAGACUGCAAGGCUAGAAUCUGGCAGAGGGGGGUAGAAUUCCACGUGUAGCAGUGAAAUGCGUAGAUAUGUGGAGGAACACCGAUGGCGAAGGCAGCCCCCUGGGUCAAGAUUGACGCUCAUGCACGAAAGCGUGGGGAGCAAACAGGAUUAGAAACCCUAGUAGUCCCAU